rnacentral:rRNA from 1 species
UGGGGAAUAUUGGACAAUGGGCGCAAGCCUGAUCCAGCCAUGCCGCGUGAGUGAUGAAGGCCUUAGGGUUGUAAAGCUCUUUCACCGGUGAAGAUAAUGACGGUACCCGGAGAAGAAGCCCCGGCUAACUUCGUGCCAGCAGCCGCGGUAAUACGAAGGGGGCUAGCGUUGUUCGGAAUUACUGGGCGUAAAGCGCACGUAGGCGGUUUGUUAAGUCAGGGGUGAAAUCCCAGAGCUCAACUCUGGAACUGCCUUUGAUACUGGCUAUCUAGAGUAUGGAAGAGGUGAGUGGAAUUCCGAGUGUAGAGGUGAAAUUCGUAGAUAUUCGGAGGAACACCAGUGGCGAAGGCGGCUC